UGACCUUAAUUGGACUCUGGGAUAAGCCCGGGAAACUGGGUCUAAUACCGGAUACGACCAGUCCUCGCAUGGGGUGCUGGUGGAAAGGGUUUGUACUGGUUCUUGAUGGGCUCACGUCCUAUCAGCUUGUUGGUGAGGUAAUGGCUUACCAAGGCGACGACGGGUAGCCGGCCUGAGAGGGUGACCGGCCACACUGGGACUGAGACACGGCCCAGACUCCUACGGGAGGCAGCAGUGGGGAAUAUUGCACAAUGGGCGCAAGCCUGAUGCAGCGACGCCGCGUGGGGGAUGACGGCCUUCGGGUUGUAAACCUCUUUCAGCAGGGAAGAAGCGAAAGUGACGGUACCUGCAGAAGAAGCGCCGGCUAACUACGUGCCAGCAGCCGCGGUAAUACGUAGGGCGCAAGCGUUGUCCGGAAUUAUUGGGCGUAAAGAGCUCGUAGGCGGUUUGUCGCGUCUGCUGUGAAAGCCCGGGGCUCAACCCCGGGUGUGCAGUGGGUACGGGCAGGCUGGAGUGCAGUAGGGGAGACUGGAAUUCCUGGUGUAGCGGUGAAAUGCGCAGAUAUCAGGAGGAACACCGAUGGCGAAGGCAGGUCUCUGGGCUGUUACUGACGCUGAGGAGCGAAAGCAUGGGGAGCGAACAGGAUUAGAUACCCUGGUAGUCCAUGCCGUAAACGUUGGGCACUAGGUGUGGGGGACAUUCCACGUUUUCCGCGCCGUAGCUAACGCAUUAAGUGCCCCGCCUGGGGAGUACGGCCGCAAGGCUAAAACUCAAAGGAAUUGACGGGGGCCCGCACAAGCGGCGGAGCAUGCGGAUUAAUUCGAUGCAACGCGAAGAACCUUACCAAGGCUUGACAUACACCGGAUCGCAGCAGAGAUGUUGUUUCCCUUCGGGGCUGGUGUACAGGUGGUGCAUGGUUGUCGUCAGCUCGUGUCGUGAGAUGUUGGGUUAAGUCCCGCAACGAGCGCAACCCUCGUUCUAUGUUGCCAGCACGUUGUGGUGGGGACUCAUAGGAGACUGCCGGGGUCAACUCGGAGGAAGGUGGGGAUGACGUCAAAUCAUCAUGCCCCUUAUGUCUUGGGCUUCACGCAUGCUACAAUGGCCGGUACAAUGGGUUGCGAUACUGUGAGGUGGAGCUAAUCCCAAAAAGCCGGUCUCAGUUCGGAUUGGGGUCUGCAACUCGACCCCAUGAAGUCGGAGUCGCUAGUAAUCGCAGAUCAGCAACGCUGCGGUGAAUACGUU
rnacentral:rRNA from 1 species